UAAUACGUAGGUGGCAAGCGUUAUCCGGAAUUACUGGGCGUAAAGCGCACGCAGGCGGCUGUCCAAGUCUGACGUGAAAGCUCCUGGCUUAACUGGGAGAGGUCGUUGGAAACUAGAUGGCUUGAGGCGAGGAGAGGGGUGUAGAAUUCCCGGUGUAGUGGUGGAAUGCGUAGAUAUCGGGAGGAAUACCAGUGGCGAAAGCGACACCCUGGCCUUUGCCUGACGCUCAGGUGCGAAAGCGUGGGUAGCGAACGGG
rnacentral:rRNA from 1 species